rnacentral:lncRNA from 1 species
AUGGAUCAACGAGGAGCAAGCAGGCUGCCUCGACUCAUGUUUGACGGAGAUGAGACCAAAUAUGAACUUUGGGAAACUAAGGUGCUAGGAUAUUUGCACUUGUUGGGAUUAAAAGACACUGUUCUGAAGGAACCGAACAGUGAGGCUGAAGUAGCGGCAGACGGUAAGAAGAACGCUGACGCUUACGCCGAGUUAAUCCAACUUUUGGACGAUAAAAGCCUCUCACUGAUUAUGAGAGAUGCCCCUGAUAAUGGGAGAAGAGCAUUAGAAAUAUUGAGGGACUACUACGCUGGAAAGGGAAAGCCCCGAAUCAUCAACCUGUACACCACGCUGACAUCGCUUCAGAAAAAGAGGGAAGAGACUGUCACAGACUAUGUCAUCAGAGCAGAGGCCACCAUUACAGCACUGCGCAAUGCGGGUGAGACUUUAGGUGAUGGAUUACUGAUUGCUAUGGUUUUAAAAGGACUACCUGAAAGCUUUAAACCAUUUGCAAUACACGUUACCCACGCUAAAGACGAUAUGACAUUUGCUGAGUUCAAAACAAAGCUACGGAGUUUCGAAGACACUGAAAAGUCAAGCGCAUCGGAGUGUAGCGACAACAUAAUGAAAACAGGAGUAAGAACCGGGCGUGAGCACACGAGAUCCAGCGCACAAUGUAGAUACAAGAGCGAUGUGGACAUUGUGUGUUUCAAGUGUGGACUAAAAGGCCACCGAGCAAAAGUGUGCAGACGGAAGACGUGGUGCAGUCAUUGCAAAAGCAACACACACAGUGAUACCACAUGUAGACAUAAAGACAAACAAGAUGGCGCGCGGAAGGUCGCAGAUGAGAGCGGCAACGGAUCCAAAGCAGAAACGCCGGAUUAUGCCUUCAGGAUUAAGGGCGCAGACAUCAAAGUCCAGCAGUCAGCAUACAACAUUGAGGAGAAAGGCCUGUUGGUCGACACUGGGGCUACCUCACACAUCAUUAACGACAUCGCCAAGUUCAAGAGCUUCGACGACGCGUUCAGACCGGAGUCACACAGCGUGGAACUGGCAGACGGUACCCAGUGCAGAGGCAUCGCCCAACAGAGGGGGGACGCAGAGGUGUUCCUGAUUGACAAUACAGGCCAGCGACGGAAAGCAACGCUGAAAGAUGCGCUGUUUAUUCCAACAUAUCCCCAGAACAUAUUCUCCGUAAAGUCAGCCACUUCAUUAGGAGCAACAGUCACCUUUAAACAAGGGCAGGACAUGUUGACCCACAAAGACGGUACUAACUUUAACAUUCAUGUGUAUGGCAAGUUGUACUAUUUGCAGACUGAAGUUGAGGGUAAUGAUAAGUGUAACACCUGUCAUGACAUACAGGCAUGGCAUGAGAUAUUAGGUCAUUGCAACUAUGAAGAUGUAGUAAGAUUGCAAAGUGUGGUUAACGGUAUGCAGAUUAAGGGGAGAACUGAUAGACCUGACCAGGAAUGUGAAGUGUGUAUCCAGGGAAAGUUUGCACAAACCCGAAACAGAGUCCCUGAUACAAGAGCAAAGGCUCCUUUACAAAUGGUACACACAGAUUUAGCAGGUCCGAUAGCCACUGAAUCUAUUGAUGGGUACAAAUACGUACAGUCAUUCACUGAUGAUUAUUCAAACUCAGUAUUUGUAUAUUUCCUGAAGACGAAAACUGAUACAGUGCAGGCAACAGAGAAAUUCCUAGCGGAUGUUGCACCAUAUGGCAAUGUAAAAUGCAUUAGAUCAGACAAUGGGACAGAGUUCACAUGCAGAGAUUUUCAAACCCUGUUAAGAAAAAAUGGCAUUAAGCAUGAGACAUCAGCCCCGUACUCACCCCAUCAGAACGGUACAGCCGAGAGGGGGUGGCGUACUCUUUUCGAGAUGGGCAAGUGCAUGCUAAUUGAGAGUCAGCUACCGAAAUGCCUAUGGAACUAUGCCAUUCAAACUGCUGCUGUAACACGGAACAGGUGCUUUAAUAAGCGAACAGGGAAAACACCCUACCAAAUGCUGACAGGUAAAAAGCCAGACUUGUCAAAGAUGCAGAAAUUUGGGUCUGUGUGCUAUGCAUACAAACAGGAUAAGGGAAAACUUGAUUCAAAAUGUGACCAAGGUUUCUUUGUAGGUUAUGAUAAGAACAGUCCCGCCUACUUAGUUUACCACCCCGAAACUGAGAAAGUUCAGAAACAUAGACUUGUUAAGUUUGUGAGCAAAGUAAAUAUAGAAAGACAAACACAGACAGAUGAGGGAGAACUAAAUGAUGACUGUAGCAGAGUAGGACAGCCUAUGGCUAACAGACCUUCAGAGAAAGGUGACAAGGACAAUGAGGAGGAUCCAGAACCUAUUGUGACGGACAAAAGUCCACAAAGUGGUAUAUCUGAUAAGCGUGAACAAAAAGGGUCAAGUGUGGCAAGUGACGGAUCUGUCAACAAAAGGUAUCCUAUUAGGGAGAGAAGAAAACCGGGACAUUUAAACGACUUUGUAGCUGCCAACAGUGGCAGCGAUGAGAUCCACACUACCAUAGACUACUGCUACAGGGCAGUGUGUGGUGUCCCAAACACAUUUAAGGAAGCCAUAGAAUCAACUAACUCAAAGAACUGGAUCAAAGCCAUGGAUGAAGAAAUUCACUCGUUACGGGAAAAUGAUACUUUCACCCUAACCACUUUGCCAAAAGGAAAGAAAACUGUGGGGGGGAAGUGGGUUUAUUCCGUUAAGAGUGACAAUGAGGGAAACGACAAAUACAAGGCAAGGUUUGUAGCCAAGGGUUACAGCCAACAGUUGGGGAUAGAUUAUGAAGAGACAUUCUCACCAACAGCCAACUUAACCAGCAUAAGAGUUUUAUUACAGAAAGCAGCACAGGAGAACCUGUUACUCCAUCAAAUGGAUGUGAAGACAGCGUAUUUACACGCUCCCAUUGAUUAUGAAAUCUACAUUGAUCAGCCAGAGGGUUAUGAAGAGGGAGAAGGGCUAGUCUGUAGAUUACAAAAAUCCUUGUAUGGGUUAAAACAAUCUGGUCGUAACUGGAAUAAAAUCUUGCAUGAAUACCUAACAGCGAACAGUUUCAGGCAAAACCCAGCAGACCACUGUGUUUAUACCAAAGAGACAAAACAUGGCAAGGUGAUUAUGAUCAUCUGGGUGGACGACCUGAUAAUUGCUGCUGCCAAUGAAAAGGUAAUGAAGGUUGUGAAAGAAAUGCUUUCAGUCAGAUUUAAGAUGAAAGACUUGGGCAGACUUAAGCAUUUUCUGGGUAUUGAUUUCACUCAGUCUGAUGGAUGUGUAACAAUGUCACAAGAAACAUAUGUCAACAAGAUACUGAUGAGGUUUAACAUGCAGAACUGUAAACCCAGAGAAACUCCCUGUGAUCAAAAGUUGUGUUACACAGAAGGUGCUACUUUGAUGAGAGAUGUGAGGAUGUAUAGAGAGGCUGUGGGCAGUCUUAUAUACCUCGCAUCAGGUACCCGUCCUGACCUGAGUUUUGUGGUAAGCAAGCUAUCACAACAUUUCCAUGAGCCUACAGAAGAACAGUGGGGAACUGUGAAACAUGUGUUGACAUAUCUCAAAGGGUCCAAAGACAAGAAGUUGUGUUUUAGGAAAAACACAGAUGAGAAUUUGGGUCUAGUGGCCUACAGUGAUGCCGACUGGGCAGGUGACACUGCCGACAGACGCAGCACUACUGGUACUGUAUACAUCUAUGUAAGAACAGUUCUUUAG